ensembl:lncRNA
UUAGUCAUUGGUGCUAACACCAAGUUUACACCAUAUCAUUACAUUAAAUUACAAUAUAAUUUAUUUACACACGUAGUACUCCAUUGUUUCCUUCCUAGCUCUGCAGACUCGAGAAUUAUCUGUUAAAAAAGAUGAUCUACAACGGCAUGUUCAAGAAUGCAAAGCUAAUAUUCAACAGAAGAAGACCCACAUCGAAGAGAGCAAGAAGAAUAUUGACAAACUUGACGAGCAGAUUACACAGAAACAGAAGACAGUUCAGCAUUACAAAGAGAACACUAAGGGCCUGAAAAGGACUCAUGGCUUGUUACUGCAGUAUGAAAAAGUCCUGGAGAGCGAACUGGAGCGCAGACAAGAGAACUGCAAUCGGGACACGAAAAUGUACCAGGACAGGGUUGAGAACUAUAAGGUGGUACUGAGGAAACACAGAGAGCAGUAUCACCAGCAUCCCCUGGCCCAGAAGCUCCUGAAGAUCCAGGCGGAGAACGAGGAGAUCGAGAGGAGAAUCAGGGCCUGCGAAGAGCAGAUAGUAGCUGGAGAGAAAGAGCGACUACAGGGUGCAGCAAUCAAAACAGUCCCUCAAGAUAAUCCAGAGGACAGUGUGUCAAUAGGAGAUAUAGAGCUUCAGUUCGUCGAUCAGGGUGAGCCAUCAGUGGAUAUGAAGGAUCCGCUUUCACAGAGCGCUGGCUAUGAUCCCCAGGAUGAGGGUACUGGGUUGGGUGAGGAGAGGAUGGAGGAAAUGGCCUCGGGACACCCAGACGGUGGCCGGAGCAGAGCUGCAGUCUCAGCCCCCCCAGCAGGGGCAAACCCAGGUGGAGGAGGCCCCAUGUGGACCAGCCCAGGAACCAGAGCAGCUCAAAGGGAGGCAGCGGACCAGGCUCAGCUGGGGGAAAUGGAUCAGGACGAAAGCUUUAACUUGUCCGGCCUGGCAGAGGAGAUGGAUAAUGAGUUUGAGGGGGUGACAGUGGAGAGUCAGAACCCCCCCACCGCCACCAGCGCUGCUGCUGCCGGGGGGGCCUCUGAGGUGGAGUAUGCAGGGGACAGCACAGUCUCUCCCCACACCCCGCCCUCCAGGAUGAAGGCAGCAUCUUCCCACACCCCGCCCUCCAGGAUGAAGGCAGCAUCUUCCCACACCCCGCCCUCCAGGAUGAAGGCAGCUCCGGCCACGCCGACCUUCUCACUCGCUAGCCCCACCUGUCCUCUGGGUGGCAGUGACAGCUCCGAUGGGAAGUCCCCCGGCUUCGUGUUCUCCAUGACCUCUGACCCCUCAACUCCAGCCUUCUCUGGGUUUGGCUUUGAUAUGGGCUCCACUGCACGAGAGGAGGAAACCCCAUUCACAUUCACAAGUGAAUAUUUCAGCGACAAGAAAUCUGAAGCAAAGUUCUCAGGGUUUCCAUUUGACCAGUCCGAGAGCAGAUCUGAGGAGGACUUUCCGUUCUCCUUCUCGUCCAAGAGCCCCAUGCAGGAACCCACCUCCGAGGACAAGACGGGGGCUGGAGACGGCUUCCCUUUCUCUUUCAACUUUGGAAAGUUCUAGAAAGCAGGGGGUUGAUCGUCAAUAGCUGUAGCAUCAGAGAAAAUAUUAUUAUAAAUGUUUUUAUAAGUUAUGCAGAAGAAGAACCUCCUCAAAUUGAGUCAAAUAGGGUUAGGGUGUGCUUCAAGAUUCACUUGUUUGGAUUCUCUCUAACUUAGAGGUUUGGACGUGGUAACCGAGAU